rnacentral:rRNA from 1 species
GUCCAGACUCCUACGGGAGGCAGCAGUGGGGGAUAUUGCACAAUGGGGGGAACCCUGAUGCAGCGACGCCGCGUGGGUGAAGGAGUAUUUCGGUAUGUAAAGCCCUAUCAGCAGGGAAGAACAAUGACGGUACCUGACUAAGAAGCACCGGCUAAAUACGUGCCAGCAGCCGCGGUAAUACGUAGGGGGCGAGCGUUAUCCGGAUUCACUGGGUGUAAAGGGAGCGUAGACGGCCAUGCAAGCCAGGGGUGAAAGCCCGGGGCCCAACCCCGGGACUGCCCUUGGAACUGCAUGGCUGGAGUGCGGGAGGGGCAGGCGGAAUUCCUGGUGUAGCGGUGAAAUGCGUAGAUAUCAGGAGGAACACCGGCGGCGAAGGCGGCCUGCUGGACCGCGACUGACGUUGAGGCUCGAAAGCGUGGGGAGCGAACAGGAUUAGAUACCCGCGUA